rnacentral:tRNA from 1 species
UGCCUUGUGGUGUAACGGUAGCACAGCAGACUCUGAAUCUGCUUGUCAUAGUUCAAAUCUAUGCAAGGCAG